AUUUGAAAUGAAUCUUAAAGGACAUGUAAUCUGCCAAACUGAGAAAGAGAUGAAGGAAAGUCUUGGAAGAGGGAAAGAGCAUAAGAUAUCAUCAAAAGUGUGUCUGCAACUGUCUCUUCAGAUACUACCUGGAUAGAGAGUCCCAGUAACCAGGAAAAUCACAGAUGUUAGUCAGAGCUGAAAAUAUUCUUCAACCAAUUUUGCAUUUUACAGAUGUUGUAUCUGAAGCCCAAGCUUAGACUAACUUUCACAAAAUCACAAAGUUAUUAAUAAAAACUCAAGGACUGAAUUCAGGUCCACUUAUUCUUACUUCACUGCUUUUCUACUAUAAUAAUCUGCCUCCAUAAAGCAACAAGGAUAGUUUUUAAAACAAAACAGAAACAAAAAAAAAAUUCCUGGAGACGGAUCCAAGAUGGCUGAUUAGGAGCAGCUCAGGAUUGCAGCUCCCAGCGAAAGCGUGGAGGCAUUGCAAAGUCAAAAUAGCUGUGGAGGAACAAGCUGUUCUGCCUCAUGUCUCAUCAACAUUCCUUGCUCAGUGUAUCAAAACACAGAGUGCAUACAGAGCAAAUGCAACAACUCUUCAAAAAGUUCCCUGUUGGGGAUUUUCUUCUCGGGAAACCAUCCACAACUGCCUACUUAAAACAUCAAAAGAAAGGUUUCUGAAGGCCUGUACUCAGCACUACCUGUGGCCACAUUGUGGAAGGAAAAGCUGAGACCCAGCUGGACUAGUGUAAAGCUCAAGUCCCGAGCACAAGAGGUGACAAUUCUGCAGGAGAAGAGUGCCAUCUGCAGGAAGACUGUAUAAGAGCUGGCAAAGCCUCAGAGUUAACAAAAAUGAGACAAUUCAUUAGUGGAGAUUCCAUACUCAGCAAAUUGUCUGGCAUACAGUAAACUCAAUAAAUUAUUUUUGUUAUUUGAAUGGUAGUAAUGAUGGCAAUAUAUAAUUUUGCAUUGCAUCUCCUGACAUUUAAAAAUCAAAACAAAUCAAACGUCCAAGGAAGGAAGAACCAGAGACUACUCAGAUUAUUCAGAUCAUUGUUCUGUUUUUCAUAGGAACCCUUCCAGAUAUGUAAGAAUCUACAUAAUUUUUAAGAUCUUAUAGAAGGAAAUUCCACAACCUCUUAUAUUCAUACUAUAGCUCUACAAUCUUCAGCAGGGCCAGGGCCAGGGCCAGGAAACUUAGUUAUAUAAAUUUAGUUUGUAACACUCUCCUUCCUCCCCUUCCAGAAUCGUUAAUAGCCCUCAUUUUAGAACACACUUUCUUUCAUCUGUUCAAUAAAUAUUUUUGUGCACCUGCUAUGUUCCAGGUUCUGUGAUAUUUAACCUGCAUACAAUGGUGAACCCACCAUAUUUCCUGUCUUUCAAGAGUUUACAGUCAGUUGAUCCUAUGAUGCUCCUGCUUCCUUUUUCCUGUCUCCCACCCUCUUUUUCAGCUCCUCUUUCCUUCUUUCUUAUAAAUGCUUCAUGCUAGAAAAUUCCCACAAUCCCCCUCACUACCAACAAAACCAAACUUUAUUUUCUCAGGGUUCUACUCUAGGUAGUGACUAGCUAAUCUGACAAAUGAUUUCAUGACACUUGCUAAUUGAUCUCAUCAUCAAAGUAAUUUGAACACAUUUUAGUGAGGUAUUUCUGAAGACACAACAAUCAUUUAGGCUUCUGUGUUGGACUAAUGGAGAUGAUUUGUGAGUUAGGAAGGGCCUUGUGGUUCAUGUGGCACCUGGUCCUCCAAAGAGCAAAACCAACCUUGAUUUUUUUUGUUUUAUGUCAUUAUUUCAACCUAUUUCUCAAUUUGCCACAAUAGAGUAAAAUAAUUCUAUUAAAGAUGUGUCCAGUCACCUUUCAAUAUAGAGUAGCUCCUUUAAAUUCUUGAUAAAUGUCUCUUCUUAUUCUUUUCUCUGAUAGUCUCCUAAUAAUUCAAAAUGCCAUUGAAAACAGAAACAUUACAUUAACUUGCAUUUUCAUCUUUUAUGCAUAUUUUCCUAAAUUUUAUAUAGCAAAUAGAAGAUAAAGCCACCACUGAACUUCCUCAGUUUUAUAAGUUCAAAUCAAAUAUGAGAUGACUGUAAUCUACUAUUCCUGUCUAUUGUAAGAGGUGAUUUCUACUAUAAGUAGUUCCUGAGGCAUGUUCUUAUCCAUUCUUCAAGGUGACAUUUCUUUAAUGCUACAAAU
ensembl:lncRNA